UACGAAGGGUCCAAGCGUUAUCCGGAUUUAUUGGGUUUAAAGGGUGCGCAGGCGGGACCUUAAGUCAGUGGUGAAAUCUCGUAGCUCAACUACGAAACUGCCAUUGAUACUGAGGUUCUUGAAUGUAGUUGACGUUAGUGGAAUGUGUCAUGUAGCGGUGAAAUGCUUAGAUAUGACACAGAACACCGAUCGCGAAGGCAGCUAACGAAGCUAUUAUUGACGCUCAGGCACGACAGCAUGGGGAGCAAACGGG
rnacentral:rRNA from 1 species